rnacentral:rRNA from 1 species
AUUGAACGCUGGCGGCAGGCCUAACACAUGCAAGUCGAGCGGUAGCACAGAGAGCUUGCUCUCGGGUGACGAGCGGCGGACGGGUGAGUAAUGUCUGGGAAACUGCCUGAUGGAGGGGGAUAACUACUGGAAACGGUAGCUAAUACCGCAUAACGUCGCAAGACCAAAGUGGGGGACCUUCGGGCCACAUGCCAUCAGAUGUGCCCAGAUGGGAUUAGCUAGUAGGUGGGGUAACGGCUCACCUAGGCGACGAUCCCUAGCUGGUCUGAGAGGAUGACCAGCCACACUGGAACUGAGACACGGUCCAGACUCCUACGGGAGGCAGCAGUGGGGAAUAUUGCACAAUGGGCGCAAGCCUGAUGCAGCCAUGCCGCGUGUGUGAAGAAGGCCUUCGGGUUGUAAAGCACUUUCAGCGGGGAGGAAGGCGGUGAGGUUAAUAACCUCAUCGAUUGACGUUACCCGCAGAAGAAGCACCGGCUAACUCCGUGCCAGCAGCCGCGGUAAUACGGAGGGUGCAAGCGUUAAUCGGAAUUACUGGGCGUAAAGCGCACGCAGGCGGUCUGUCAAGUCGGAUGUGAAAUCCCCGGGCUCAACCUGGGAACUGCAUUCGAAACUGGCAGGCUAGAGUCUUGUAGAGGGGGGUAGAAUUCCAGGUGUAGCGGUGAAAUGCGUAGAGAUCUGGAGGAAUACCGGUGGCGAAGGCGGCCCCCUGGACAAAGACUGACGCUCAGGUGCGAAAGCGUGGGGAGCAAACAGGAUUAGAUACCCUGGUAGUCCACGCCGUAAACGAUGUCGAUUUGGAGGUUGUGCCCUUGAGGCGUGGCUUCCGGAGCUAACGCGUUAAAUCGACCGCCUGGGGAGUACGGCCGCAAGGUUAAAACUCAAAUGAAUUGACGGGGGCCCGCACAAGCGGUGGAGCAUGUGGUUUAAUUCGAUGCAACGCGAAGAACCUUACCUGGUCUUGACAUCCACAGAACUUUCCAGAGAUGGAUUGGUGCCUUCGGGAACUGUGAGACAGGUGCUGCAUGGCUGUCGUCAGCUCGUGUUGUGAAAUGUUGGGUUAAGUCCCGCAACGAGCGCAACCCUUAUCCUUUGUUGCCAGCGGUUAGGCCGGGAACUCAAAGGAGACUGCCAGUGAUAAACUGGAGGAAGGUGGGGAUGACGUCAAGUCAUCAUGGCCCUUACGACCAGGGCUACACACGUGCUACAAUGGCAUAUACAAAGAGAAGCGACCUCGCGAGAGCAAGCGGACCUCAUAAAGUAUGUCGUAGUCCGGAUUGGAGUCUGCAACUCGACUCCAUGAAGUCGGAAUCGCUAGUAAUCGUAGAUCAGAAUGCUACGGUGAAUACGUUCCCGGGCCU